GACGAACGCUGGCGGCGUGCUUAACACAUGCAAGUCGAACGAAGUGGCGCACGGGUGAGUAACGCGUAAUCAACCUGCCCUUCAGAGGGGGACACCAGUGGGAAACGACUGCUAAUACCGCAAACUGAAGGAGGGGAUUGCGUCUGCUUUGCUAGUUGGUGGGGUAACGGCCCGCCAAGGCGAUUAUCAGUAGACGGUUGGAGAGGGUGACCGGGCAAAUGGGGAGUGUGGCACGGCCCAGAAUCCUACGGGAGGCAGCAGUGGGGAAUCCUCCGCAAUUGACGAAAGUCUGACGGAGCAAAGCCGCGUGAGUGAGGACGGCCUUCGGGUUGUAAAGCUCUGUUAAUCGGGACGCGGUACCGGAAUAGAAAGCCACGGCUAACUACGUGCCAGCAGCCGCGGUAAUUC
rnacentral:rRNA from 1 species